GUUUUGAACAAGUGACAUAACAUUGCUGAGCCUCAAUCAACUCAUCUGUGAAAUGGAGCUAAUGACAGCAAACGGGAUAAGGCACCUGGAUGUGAUCUCUGAACUUCAAUGGCCUUAAAAUGCUCAAUAAGAGGCUCAGGCUCUCCUUGCUGGUGCUAGGGUAGGACAUUCUCACUCCACUUCAGGUCUGGGGAGUGCCAACCAGAGUAAACCAUCCUGGGCCAAUCACGUUCUAAAACAGAGCAACACAUUCUGAAAGGACAGAGAAUGUAUGCUGAGUGGCAGCACGCUCUGACGUGUGUGUCCUCCUCUGAGCCUGAGGUCCCUCAUCAGCAAAACAGGCAAAAUAACCUUUGUGUAGUAUGGUCAGGAAUAACAGAAAGCCUAUGCAAGGGUCCCAGCACAUAGUAGGUACUUUGUAAGCAUUCAUAAGCCUUAGUUUCUCUCCUUUCCUCUUAAGAAUGAAUGAAUUAUUUCUGGGCCAGUGACACUUAUCUUCAUGUCUCACUCAAUAUAAUAAAUUUCCAGUGCAGUUACGCUGACUAUCCUGCCUCUAGAUUAAUGGAGAAUGAUCAGCUCGGAAGGCACAGAAGAGUGCAUUCUGCCUGCAAACAGUUGGCCUGACCUGAUUAUAUGCAGGAGCUAUAAAGUACCGUAGAGUACUGACAUUAUUGUCCAGUUCCUGCCCACAAAAUAUCCCAUAAAAACGUAGCCAGGUUAAUCUAUAUCUCACUGAUGGAACUGAGGAUUUUCCAUUCAAAUGUUGCUAUGGGUCCCAUGCUGUUUUGCCCUGGGAGAGUCCUAUUGUAUUAAGAUGCAUUUGGCUGCAAGUAACAGCAAACCUAACUCAAGGUUUAACAGAUACAGAGUGGGCUUUGGAGAUGGUGCAUUCAGCAGCCAAAUGAUGACAUCAGAGAUCUAUGUUCUUUUCACCUUCCAUCUUUCCAUCCUUAGAGCUAGCUUCACCCUCAGGCUGGCAUCAAGAUGGUUGCUGCAGAUUGAAGGUUUCAACUAAACGCCAAAGCAUCCUGAGGAAUUAAAGAGAGACGAU
rnacentral:lncRNA from 1 species